rnacentral:lncRNA from 1 species
CAGCGUUCCCCUAUGAAUCCAACACCCUCUGCAUCCCCAUUGAGAGCACACCGCCAAUCUCCACGUGUACGACGAGGCUGAGACACAAAUCAUUUGGUAAGCACCUCAGAGUGUAACACACUAUGCAUACCCAGUUGAAAUUUCACAUCAAUAUCUGGUUGUAUGAUGAGGCAGAAAAGUACCUCAGUCAAUCGGGUAAUUUGAUGUAAAUUUCAUCUCUAGCUUCCAUAGGCCAUAUUUGUUGUGUGUGUAUAUGUAGUUGGCCGUAUCUUUUCAUAGAAUCUUUCAUUACGCACAAGAAGGAUGUCACCGCUUGUAUUAUAUGAAUAUAUUGAGCUACCCUGCCCUUGUUUUCAGAUGAAUCUAUGGUAUUAGUUCCAGCACGUAUUUGAUGAUUAAGCGGCCAUAUAUAGUGGUAGAUCAUAUAUAUAGUAUCCAUUCAUGUGUUCAUAUAGUGCGUCAUGCAAGUAGAAUGAAGCAAUACUGUAAAAUGUAGACAAUUGGCUGCAUCUGUAUCCUUUCUUCUAACUAAAUAGUCAGUCAGUGUGUGUGUGUGUAUGUUAUUCUUAAAUUUUCUGUAAAAAGAAACAACAAACUCAACCUCAAUUUAGUUACUUAAUUAAUACUUAAAUAUAAGAAAAUCAAAGUUGUCACUCUAGGUAUGUAUUGUAAUUGACACUGUAUUAUAUCACAAGUACAAAGGUACCUUUACAUGAUAUAACUGUUUUUUCUUCUUCCAAAAUGUGAUAAUAUUACUGGCCUUUUAUUUGUGAUAAAAUAUGGAGUAUUAAUACAAAAAAAAAAUUGUGGAAUGUAAAACUAUACUGUUUCAAUUUCCCCCAAUCUAUUUUAGUAGUCAGUAUAUAUGUUGUUAUUAGUGUAUUUUAAAUAAUAAAGUGUGUGUAUAUAUAUAUAUUUAUUUAUUUAUUUAAUUUGUAUAUUAAUCCUCCGUACUUAUACCAAGAUUUAGUUUUUUUGAUGACCAAUUAAG